UAUUGUGAGAUUGGGCUGUGAGAUUGGAAGAUUAGUCCGGCCCGGUGAGAUGUAUGUCGUCUCUAAACCUAAUUCGGAGAGUUUGUCUCUCUUCUAGCGGUGGCAACGCGGUGAUCUUUGAGCUUCUUCUCACGUUCUGAAACGGUCGGAUUUAUGACUUCUCCUUUAAUCCCGUUGUUUCUCUUCCCCAUGAUGUCUCUUCAAAGCGUUGUUUAGAUCUAAGAGGCGGUGUGAGUUCAGAAUAAAUAUAUGUGAAAACCCUCUCUUGAUUGUGUGGAAGAAAGCAUUGGUUCAUUUUCCUACAGAGCCACCAGAGAAGCGGGUGUAUGAUCCACCACAAGGUCAAGGCAUAAAGCUCGAGUCCGAAGAGGAAGCUGUUGGAGAGAAAGGCGACAAGUCUUGGUUGAGAGUCUCUUUGGCAUCUACAGAGCAUCUCAGCUAGUCCGAUGUAAGGGUUCUAUUAUUGUGUGAUAAACCUAAUACCAGGGGACUACCAUCAGAUACACUCUCCGGCUGACUGGAAUGAAUUGGUUCGUUGACAAUUUGCAGGCCUGUUGUAUCCUGUGAAUGAGUAGCUAUUAGAACGAUAAAAAUUCUCUGUGUUGAAAAUGAAAGGGUCGUGCUUGAAGGGAUAUGGAAACAAGGUUUUAUGGCACUUGCUGCUGUUGGUGCUACCAACAUUGGAUCCAUUGAGCUUUUCAUCGAACCUGAACUAAGAACAAACAAGCCAAAGAAACUGUUUCCUGCAGCCUCUUCUAUUGUGUAGAAGAAAGCUUUGGUUCGUUUAUGCAUAUACAAACGUUAAUGACUAAUGUUUUGUAUCUCAUUUUCGAGAAACAAAGGUUGCUGGCAAAAUUAGCGAACACCACUAGGCUUUCAAUGGGGAGAUGUCAAACUGAGACGACUGGGUGUUUGUCAAAGACUGUUUAUUUUCUUUUCUUUUUUACUAUGCUUUUACAGGGUUAAAAAUAAGGAAACAGAACUUGACGAGUAUAUGGUCUACACGAUUGAUAGAGAAGAAAAUAAUCAAAUGGAGACUAAAGAUAAAAAUUGUUUAGAAGACUCCAGUUGAGCUUAGCUAAGGCUAAGGAAAGUCGUCGUGGUCAAGCAAAUGAAGUUUUCUCCGUCACGAGUCUGAGAGAAACGUGUUCCAAGCUGAGCCCCUCAUAGCUUUCAAGAUUCCUAACACAUUUUUCAUUUUUAAUUAAAUUUUGUUGCAUUAAUUUGGAAAUAAAUUGCAAAUCAACACGAGACAUAACUCACAAGA